rnacentral:rRNA from 1 species
GGGUUGUGAGGUUAAGCGACUAAGCGUACACGGUGGAUGCCCUGGCAGUCAGAGGCGAUGAAGGACGUGCUAAUCUGCGAUAAGCGUCGGUAAGGUGAUAUGAACCGUUAUAACCGGCGAUUUCCGAAUGGGGAAACCCAGUGUGAUUCGUCACACUAUCAUUAACUGAAUCCAUAGGUUAAUGAGGCGAACCGGGGGAACUGAAACAUCUAAGUACCCCGAGGAAAAGAAAUCAACCGAGAUUCCCCCAGUAGCGGCGAGCGAACGGGGAGCAGCCCAGAGCCUGAAUCAGUGUGUGUGUUAGUGGAAGCGUCUGGAAAGGCGUGCGAUACAGGGUGACAGCCCCGUACACAAAAAUGCACAUGCUGUGAGCUCGAUGAGUAGGGCGGGACACGUGGUAUCCUGUCUGAAUAUGGGGGGACCAUCCUCCAAGGCUAAAUACUCCUGACUGACCGAUAGUGAACCAGUACCGUGAGGGAAAGGCGAAAAGAACCCCGGCGAGGGGAGUGAAAAAGAACCUGAAACCGUGUACGUACAAGCAGUGGGAGCCUCUUUAUGGGGUGACUGCGUACCUUUUGUAUAAUGGGUCAGCGACUUAUAUUCUGUAGCAAGGUUAACCGAAUAGGGGAGCCGAAGGGAAACCGAGUCUUAACUGGGCGUUAAGUUGCAGGGUAUAGACCCGAAACCCGGUGAUCUAGCCAUGGGCAGGUUGAAGGUUGGGUAACACUAACUGGAGGACCGAACCGACUAAUGUUGAAAAAUUAGCGGAUGACUUGUGGCUGGGGGUGAAAGGCCAAUCAAACCGGGAGAUAGCUGGUUCUCCCCGAAAGCUAUUUAGGUAGCGCCUCGUGAAUUCAUCUCCGGGGGUAGAGCACUGUUUCGGCAAGGGGGUCAUCCCGACUUACCAACCCGAUGCAAACUGCGAAUACCGGAGAAUGUUAUCACGGGAGACACACGGCGGGUGCUAACGUCCGUCGUGAAGAGGGAAACAACCCAGACCGCCAGCUAAGGUCCCAAAGUCAUGGUUAAGUGGGAAACGAUGUGGGAAGGCCCAGACAGCCAGGAUGUUGGCUUAGAAGCAGCCAUCAUUUAAAGAAAGCGUAAUAGCUCACUGGUCGAGUCGGCCUGCGCGGAAGAUGUAACGGGGCUAAACCAUGCACCGAAGCUGCGGCAGCGACACUAUGUGUUGUUGGGUAGGGGAGCGUUCUGUAAGCCUGUGAAGGUGUGCUGUGAGGCAUGCUGGAGGUAUCAGAAGUGCGAAUGCUGACAUAAGUAACGAUAAAGCGGGUGAAAAGCCCGCUCGCCGGAAGACCAAGGGUUCCUGUCCAACGUUAAUCGGGGCAGGGUGAGUCGACCCCUAAGGCGAGGCCGAAAGGCGUAGUCGAUGGGAAACAGGUUAAUAUUCCUGUACUUGGUGUUACUGCGAAGGGGGGACGGAGAAGGCUAUGUUGGCCGGGCGACGGUUGUCCCGGUUUAAGCGUGUAGGCUGGUUUUCCAGGCAAAUCCGGAAAACUAAGGCUGAGGCGUGAUGACGAGGCACUACGGUGCUGAAGCGACAAAUGCCCUGCUUCCAGGAAAAGCCUCUAAGCAUCAGGUAACAUCAAAUCGUACCCCAAACCGACACAGGUGGUCAGGUAGAGAAUACCAAGGCGCUUGAGAGAACUCGGGUGAAGGAACUAGGCAAAAUGGUGCCGUAACUUCGGGAGAAGGCACGCUGAUAUGUAGGUGAAGCGACUUGCUCGUGGAGCUGAAAUCAGUCGAAGAUACCAGCUGGCUGCAACUGUUUAUUAAAAACACAGCACUGUGCAAACACGAAAGUGGACGUAUACGGUGUGACGCCUGCCCGGUGCCGGAAGGUUAAUUGAUGGGGUCAGCGCAAGCGAAGCUCUUGAUCGAAGCCCCGGUAAACGGCGGCCGUAACUAUAACGGUCCUAAGGUAGCGAAAUUCCUUGUCGGGUAAGUUCCGACCUGCACGAAUGGCGUAAUGAUGGCCAGGCUGUCUCCACCCGAGACUCAGUGAAAUUGAACUCGCUGUGAAGAUGCAGUGUACCCGCGGCAAGACGGAAAGACCCCGUGAACCUUUACUAUAGCUUGACACUGAACAUUGAGCCUUGAUGUGUAGGAUAGGUGGGAGGCUUUGAAGUGUGGACGCCAGUCUGCAUGGAGCCGACCUUGAAAUACCACCCUUUAAUGUUUGAUGUUCUAACGUAGACCCCUAAUCGGGGUUGCGGACAGUGUCUGGUGGGUAGUUUGACUGGGGCGGUCUCCUCCUAAAGAGUAACGGAGGAGCACGAAGGUUGGCUAAUCCUGGUCGGACAUCAGGAGGUUAGUGCAAUGGCAUAAGCCAGCUUGACUGCGAGCGUGACGGCGCGAGCAGGUGCGAAAGCAGGUCAUAGUGAUCCGGUGGUUCUGAAUGGAAGGGCCAUCGCUCAACGGAUAAAAGGUACUCCGGGGAUAACAGGCUGAUACCGCCCAAGAGUUCAUAUCGACGGCGGUGUUUGGCACCUCGAUGUCGGCUCAUCACAUCCUGGGGCUGAAGUAGGUCCCAAGGGUAUGGCUGUUCGCCAUUUAAAGUGGUACGCGAGCUGGGUUUAGAACGUCGUGAGACAGUUCGGUCCCUAUCUGCCGUGGGCGCUGGAGAACUGAGGGGGGCUGCUCCUAGUACGAGAGGACCGGAGUGGACGCAUCACUGGUGUUCGGGUUGUCAUGCCAAUGGCACUGCCCGGUAGCUAAAUGCGGAAGAGAUAAGUGCUGAAAGCAUCUAAGCACGAAACUUGCCCCGAGAUGAGUUCUCCCUGAGACUUAGAGUCUCCUGAAGGAACGUUGAAGACGACGACGUUGAUAGGCCGGGUGUGUAAGCGCAGCGAUGCGUUGAGCUAACCGGUACUAAUGAACCGUGAGGCUUAACCUUACAACGCCGAAG